rnacentral:rRNA from 1 species
GACGAACGCUGGCGGCGUGCCUAAUACAUGCAAGUCGAACGCUUCUUUCCUCCCGAGUGCUUGCACUCAAUUGGAAAGAGGAGUGGCGGGCGGGUGAGUAACACGUGGGUAACCUACCCAUCAGAGGGGGAUAACACUUGGAAACCGGUUCUAAUCCCGCAUUACAGUUUAUGCCGCAUGGCGUUAGAGUGAAAGGCGCUUUCGGGUGUCGCUGUCGGCUGGACCCGGGGGGCAUUAGCUAGUUGGUGGGGUAACGGCUUACCAAGGCCACGAGGGACAGCCGAAGUGAGAGGGGGAUCGGCCACACGGGGACUUAGACACGGCCCAGACGCCUGCGAGAGGCAGCAGUAGGGUAUCUUCGGCAAUGGACGAAAGUCUGACCGAGCAACGCCGCGUGAGUGAAGAAGGUUUUCGGAGCGUAAAACUCUGUUGUUAGAGAAGAACAAGGACGUUAGUAACUGAACGUCCCCUGACGGUAUCUAACCAGAAAGCCACGGCUAACUACGUG